UUGAUUUAUUUGAUAAAAAAGUACUUAUAACUAGUUAAUGUCAAUCCAGAUCAAUUGCGUCACAGAAUUAAUCUCUGCAACAGUAGUUAAUCUUUAAAUCGAUAUCUUCAGAUUCAGCCAAUUCCAAUUUACAUGAUCACUGCAGAAUUUGCAAU